CCGUCGCGCCGAGAACACUGGUUAGUCUCGCUCCGGGUUCCGGCUGCGUCGGGUUGGCGUGCAGCUCGCUGAGAUUAUGGCGUCCGGGCCUCACCCGACAGCGACCGCUGCCGCCGCCGCCUCAUCGGCCGCCCCAAGCGCGGGUGGCUCCAGCUCCGGGACGACGACCACGACGACUACGACGGGAGGGAUCCUGAUCGGCGACCGCCUGUACUCGGAAGUUUCGCUCACCAUCGACCACUCAUUGAUUCCGGAGGAGAGGCUGUCGCCCACCCCGUCCAUGCAGGACGGGCUCGACCUGCCCAGUGAGACAGACCUGCGUAUCCUGGGCUGCGAGCUCAUCCAGGCCGCCGGCAUUCUCCUCCGGCUGCCUCAGGUGGCGAUGGCAACCGGGCAGGUGUUGUUUCAUCGUUUUUUCUACUCCAAAUCUUUCGUCAAACACAGUUUCGAGAUUGUUGCCAUGGCUUGUAUUAAUCUUGCAUCAAAAAUCGAAGAAGCACCUAGAAGAAUAAGAGAUGUGAUUAAUGUAUUCCAUCAUCUACGCCAGUUAAGAGGAAAAAGGACUCCAAGCCCCCUGAUCCUUGAUCAGAACUACAUUAACACCAAAAAUCAAGUUAUCAAGGCAGAGAGGAGGGUGCUAAAGGAGUUGGGAUUUUGUGUUCAUGUCAAGCAUCCCCAUAAGAUCAUUGUUAUGUAUUUACAAGUCUUAGAAUGUGAACGUAAUCAAACCCUGGUUCAAACUGCCUGGAAUUAUAUGAAUGACAGUCUUCGAACCAAUGUUUUUGUUCGAUUUCAACCAGAGACUAUAGCGUGUGCUUGCAUCUACCUUGCAGCUAGAGCGCUUCAGAUUCCAUUGCCUACUCGUCCCCAUUGGUUUCUUCUUUUUGGUACUACGGAAGAGGAGAUCCAGGAAAUCUGCAUAGAAACACUUAGGCUUUAUACCAGAAAAAAGCCAAACUAUGAGUUGCUGGAAAAAGAAGUAGAAAAAAGAAAAGUAGCCUUACAGGAAGCCAAAUUAAAAGCAAAGGGAUUGAAUCCUGAUGGAACUCCAGCCCUUUCAACCCUCGGUGGAUUUUCUCCAGCCUCUAAACCAUCAUCACCAAGAGAGGUAAAAGCUGAAGAAAAGUCACCAAUCUCCAUUAAUGUGAAGACAGUCAAAAAAGAACCUGAGGAUAGACAACAGGCUUCCAAAAGCCCUUACAAUGGUGUAAGAAAAGACAGCAAGAGAAGUAGAAAUAGCAGAAGUGCAAGUCGAUCAAGGUCAAGAACACGAUCACGUUCUAGAUCUCAUACUCCAAGAAGACAGCUGCCUUCCAAGACAUGAUGAGGAAUCCUGCUGUUUCUGCUCUGGAUAAAUCAAUGAUAAUCUUCAACCCAGUGAGGGGCAAGUCAUGGGGAUGAACUCCUGUGUCAACGGCACUGCUAAAAUCAGGUAGGAAACUUCUCCCACCUUCUGUUCACUCAUCUAUGUGUUUAUUCACCCGUUUAUUUGAAAUGCACACCCAGAGUCCCUGUUGAAUGGGAAGCACUGUGGUGGCUCUGGGGGUACAUGGAGCGGAGGAGAGGUUUGGACUUGGCUUUUGAAGAGCUGAAUGCAGGCAGAGGAAAAAGACACAAACCCAAAUGCUGCUAACACCCCCAACUGUUAACCGUGAUGAUCUCCCAGUGGCAGAUGUAUGAGUGUUUUUUAUUUUCUUCUUUUUGUUUAUCUAUGUUUCAUGUGUAUCUGUUCUAUGUUUGGCCCCAAGAGGCCGAACUUCUCUGACCAGCACUAGGACAGGUCUGCCUUCUCCAACUGCACCCCAAAGAAAUUGGGUGUGUAGCAGCAGUGAGGUCCUACACCAGGGAGUCCCUAAAUGAAGUCCAGUCUCAGAUGUGGACAUGCUCGGCUUCUUCUGGGGGUCGCUGGAGGUCGAGGUACAGGCGCUGACCCUUCCCCUCCUUUUCUGCAGUGGGGACCGAAUUCCAGCCCCUGCCCGUGGUCUGGCCAUCCUCUGAGGGGUCAGUGCAGCCAAACUGGCUCAUUAUGCCUGCCUUCUCCUCUCUCCUUCACAACUAACUCUGUGGGUCUGCUGAGGGAGGUAGGGAAGGCCCCGAGCUUUGCUGUAAUCUGCUCACCCAUCCCAGCAACCACAGCACAUCAGCCACAUGGUAUCAUGUAGCUCCUUAAGAAAGGCCCCUGUCUGAAAGCUUAGAGGGGCCCAUCUUGGGGGACAGCAGGGAAGCCAGAGACACAGCACCGAGCUGAGGCUGGGCCCCCAGCCGUCUCAUGCUACAGAGGCCUCAAGUAAACCAAGGAUACCACAGCUGGGCAAUUUCAGCCCCACCACGGACUGAUGACUGGCACACUCAAGCAAUUUCAAUCCCUCAUCAUCUGCUCCUUCUUCAACAUCUUGUCUAAAAACAUGCCCAGGAGUGUUCAGGGAAUACGGGCUGUCACACAGUUCAGGCAUUUCUCCUCAGGCCCCAACACACGCUCAGCGUGGAUCGAAAAGCCUGACUGUGUCUUUCCGGCCGAGACGAGAAACUGUCUGGGCGCACAGGUGGAGGCAGCAAGACCCCCCGGGCUGCUUCUGUUUUCUGCUCACCCGGUUACCUUAGCAACAGCAUCUGCAGCAGGACGGGGAGGAAGCAAGCACCACCCUCCCCUGCCACAGGGAGAGGCGUGGGCAUGGAGAAGGCAGCGGCCUGGAGUCGGAGGCCUGGGCGCAUGCCCUCGCUCUGCUGGCUGCUGGCGGCUGUCCCCAGCAAGCUGCCUCACCCCCGGGCCUGCUCUGUCCAGAUUGGGGGGCCGAGGGCUCCCUGGCUGGUUCAAGGAUGCUGUCAAGGAGCACAGUCCUCCGGAUGAGGAGACCCUGCUGCUUCUGCUCUGGGUGGCAUCCAGCACAGCCACUGGGUCAGGGAACAACUAUUCUUCAGCUGGUCUUCUGUUAAUCAACAUUUCACUCACCACCUGUGCUGCAGAAAAUGUUUGCUGACCAAGCAGAUGAUUGAGCUCCAAGGAGACUGGUAGUUGGCAGUGCUUGGCCUCACCAGGAUGUAUAUUUCUUCACCUGGGGAGGGAAGUAAACUUGGCUUUGGUCCUUGAAGGCUCAUGUAGAAGAAAAGAGAUUGAGGCAGUCAAAAAUAAUUAUGAGCAGUUCAAUGCUACAAAUGUCUGUACCAAUAAGAGGAUAAUAAAAGUAAUACCCUCAGCAUGGUCUCUGAAGCUUUCAGAGAACUCUCACAUCUGUUCUCUUGUCAUGUUCUUGUAACAUGACAGUGAACAGUGAAGCAGGCAGAGCAGACGUGAUGACCUCCAUGUUGCAGUGAAGGACAGUGAGGCACAGGGAGGCUGAAGACCCUGGGGCCUCGUGGGUAAUGGCCAAGCUAGACCAGGAUUUUGUGUCCUCUACUUCCUGACCCCAGGACCUUUUUGUUGGACAUGAUUCAUGACAGCUAUUAUGAAGCAGAAGCAUCUUCCAACUUUGUUUGUGGCCACGAUGCCUGAACUUAACACAUCACAGAGCACCUCUCUGAAGAAGGAAGAAAACUAAGAUUCAUUCAUCCAACGGAUAAUUUUAUUGAGCACCUACUCUGUGCCAUGCUUGUGGCUAAGCACUGAGGAUACUCCCAAGCAGCUCAAUGUAUUAGAUACUUCCUCUUGCUUAAUUAAAUCUCGCAUGUUGGCAAUGGAUGGAAUCACUAACCAGGAGAUCCCAAAAAGUGACAGCCCCCACCCUGCAACAAUUUUUGUAUCCCAACAGACUUCCACUGAGCUGCAUCUGUUGAUAGGAGAAGGCACGCGUCUAAAAUUGGGGGAAGAUAACCAGGAACAAGGAGCAAAGAUAGAAAACCUUUAGGCAGUGCUAAAGCCAGCCCUGGCUCUGGGAUGGGCCCUGGGCUGCGGGGAGAUGAGAGGCCCCUUGGCUUGGUGCCGAAGUGCUCCACACCAGCUUGACAACGGGGAUUCCUGACACUAAAGCCUGAGAAAAACUUUUUAACAUUUUACCUCUUUCCCUAGUCUGGCCCCAAUUAUGCCUUGUUCUAUGAACAGAAAAAUUAUUCAACAACAGUCCUUUUGGACUCUCUUUUAUCUAUUCAGUGAAAUGGCAGCGAGGGGAUGAAGAACCCAAACCUUCCAGGUCUAAAUAGGAUUCCAGAAACACAUUCUGAACUCACAGAAAACAACCUCUUAGAUCUGCGUUCCUCUGCAGAAUUUGUAGCCCAAACACAUACUGUGGGUUUAACUCCGCAGACCUUGAAGACACGAGGGAAAGGGAUUCAGAAAAGCCGAGGACCGAGUGAGUUCACAGGACAAGCAGCAGCAUCAGAAGGCACAUUAGGGCCCUCAUGGUUUCAGUUUUAAUGUAUAACCCACAACACAAAAAAAUAAGUUCUUUCUUUUGUUUUGUUUCACUUUUUAAGACCUCUUACAUUAGGUGAUCUUUAAAACAACAACAACAAAAUGCUGUAAGAACCAGACCAUUGAUAUAAGUGGAGUUGAAUUAUCCUCGUGUUAUAAACAUAGAAAAUUAGACCUGGGACUUGAAAGAAAGACCCUUAGAAAUCAUCUAAUUGACUGACUUGAUUUUUCAAUGAAGAAUCUGAGGCCUUGGUCAUAAUGAUAACGAGUGUGACUAGCUACCACCUAUCAAUCUCACAUGCAGAAUCCGAUACUGGAUAAGGAUCUUGUAUUAGUUGGACAGGGGACACAAUUCAACUCAUAAGAGAAGGCUACCAACUUUGCAUCCAGUUCUCAUAGCAAGCUUGGGUCCUGACGGGUUAGGCCCAUAGAGGCAGCCAGUGUAGUGUUCCACUUUCUCUGGAACCACACAGCCUGGGUUGGCAGCCCAGCCCCACCUUUUAUGAGUUUACAAAUGUGGGUAAGCUGUUUAACCUCCUUGUGCCUCAGUUUCUUUAUCUGUUAGAUGGGGAUAAUAUAGGUCCAUAAUUUCAAAACCUUAAAAUCUCUAAAUACCAAAAAUUGUAUUUAUAACUCAUUUGGCAGCAAAACCUGACCUGAAAUAAUUGUAUUUUAUAUAAAAACCUUCCUUGAGUUGACACAAGGCUACUUAUGGUCUUUAUGUAUGCAACAUAUACAUUUCCCCACAGAAAUAUUAGUAUGUUUGAUUACAGGAUUCUGUUACUGAUGCUGCAGGAUGUUAUGUAGUUUAUACAUAUACUGCAUGCCCUUUUCCAAAUCCCAGCAUUAUGAUGUGCCAAACACUGCUGGCUCCAAGGGUUUGAGUAAGGGAUGUGGACCUUACAUCACAGGGUUGUAAUGAGAAUUAAAUGUAUUAAUAUUUGCACAGUGUAGAAUAUGAUAGUAAACACUCUAUACCGAUUAGUUAAAUAAAAUAACAGCUGUCUUACCUACAGUGCCUUGGGUGGUAAGGCCGGGAAGAAGGCUCUGGCCUUCGAGUGUAGACACGCGUGCUUUCUAUGUUUGUGGCUCCACCUCUUCGACUCCAGGUCUGGGGCUCAUGUCUUCUGGUCCCCAAACCAGCCUUGUUUAUACAAUAUAUUGAAGCAAUCUCUACCUUCUGAGUUGAUCACUGAGUGAGAUCAGGUUCCUAUCUGUAUUAGUCAGUUCAGGCUGCUAUGACAAAAUACCACAGGCUGGGCGGCUUACACAGCAAAAUUUUUCUCUCAGUUCUGGAAGCUGGAAAUCUGAGAUCAUGAGGUUGGUGGGGUUGGUUUUUCUGAGGCCUCUCUCCUUGGCCUGCAGUUGUCCAUUUUACUCUGUUUUUACGUGGUCUUCCCUCUGUACUGAUCUGUCCUAACCUAGUAAAAGGACACCAGCAUACUGGAUUAGGGCGCACCCUAAAGACCUCAUUUUAACUUAAUUACCUCUUUAAAGAUCUUAUCUCUAAAUAUAGUCACAUUCUAAGGUACUGGAGAUUAGGGCUUCAACAUAUGAAUUUGGGGGGACACAGUCCAGCCCAUAGUGCUAUUUUUAGAAAACUAGAUGAAUUACCACUCAUACUAGAUGUAUCCCAUAUGCUUGCUGGCUUGUUUCUGCCUCAGUGUUUUUCAAAGCGUGGUCCUAGACCACCUGCAAUCGAAUCACUUGGGCCCUUUAUAAAAAUAAGGCUCCUGAGUCAGAACCUAGGGGAAGGGACUACAGGGCCCAGGAAUGGAACUUGCUUGGAUUUUACAUUUAUAUGAUUUAUUUAACAUUUAUAUGAAGGUUUAGUUUAAUUAAGGGGAUUCAGAUUAGCCAGGUAGCAAGGUAGCCCCCAGAACCCCACUUCACCCCCAUGGCCACUGCAGUCCCCCAGGUAAGGCCAGCUGAAAGAAAAGCAGGAGGUGGGGGAGGCAGCCGCUGCUCACCCAGCUCUGUAUAAAGUCUGAGUAGGGACAGCAGUUCGUCCCCAUGCCUCCCCCAGUGUGGUUCACCCUAGAGGGCCACGACAGAACCUAAUUUCCUGCUCAAAGCGAGCUUGCUGGUACUGGUGAAUGCCCCACGCCCUUCAGUGCAGAUACAGGGAACUUGCAGUGUGGAUGCCAGGACAGGCCUCAGGUAGUUGACUUCCCAGCAAUGCCAGGCUGUGGAAUGCAGCCUGACAAUGGAUUCUAGUAAAUUCCCUUGGGCAGCAUCCCCCCACCUCUGUCCACCAGCUCUUGGAGGACCUCAAAUUCCCCCCCACCCCUCAGAAUGGUGUAACACCUGAGCCUUGAAAUAAUGUUUAGGAGACAGGCAACAGUGGCAUUUUCCAGAGCCAAAUGCUGAACCAGAGACAGAGGCUGAGGUGAGCUCAUGCAGUCGCUGACUGCUCCAAAGCUUCUGGUGAGAUCACGUGAGGUGGGUAACUGGAGGGGUCAUGCUGGCUCCCUUCGAGCUGGUCUAGGGGGAACAGGGUUGUCAUUCACCAUGAGCACAGCCUUUUAACUACAUCCCAAACAACACACAUAAGCCCUCCGGAGUGGGUGUCUGCAGCAGAUGUAUGAGUGUGUGUACAUCCAUGUCCCAAGCCUGUGUUGGAGGCCACCAGCCUCCCAGUGUCAAAAAUUCCAAUAAAACAGCUGGUGAGUGGGACUCUAAAUGGAAGUGAUUUUCCUAGCACCAUGACAACAUGACACCGUCAAAGAGAAUGGCAACAAUCCAUCCCUUGUCUUUCACUACUGGUUCCAGCUUGGAUUUCUUGUGUCUUAAAAUACGUGCCUGGCUGGCAACGCAGUGACUCACCUGCACCAGGAUUGAGUAAAACAGGCAGGAAGUGCUUCCUUCUGAAGAACUGUCAGGGACUGGCAAAGCACCUGAAGUCCUUCAUUUCACACAUUGUUCCUGUCAAGGGGGAGAUGUUUUUACUCUCUUGUCAAAGUUGGAGUUGCCAAAGAAAGCAAAGUGUGCAGGAUGUGUCAAUCUUUGGCACUUGUGUUAAACAGAGUUUGAGGAAAUCAGGCAGAUUCGACUGAGAAUCUCCUCCGCAUCCUCAAUCCAGUGCAAGGUGGGCCCCAUUUUUGACAGGGCACUGUCACAUGUAGAGUCACUCAGCUACACAUGGGCAUCUCCCUCAGUGCCAAGGUCUAAUUAUCGGGAUUCUAUGAAUCCUGAGUACUUCAAUGAUUUAAGAACUCUUCUGAAGCUGAUCAUUUGGAAAUUCUAUUGUUUGUAAACUUGAGUUAAUUAAAAAAGUAGGGUCAAGAAUUUUACUGUCAAUGAAAUCGUGUUUACUGGUUGCUUCUUAAUUCCACAUGAAUCCCACAGGCCGUAAAUUAUGGUAUACUGGAACGUACCCUGAAGUCAGGCCUGGAUUCAUUUCCUAGGUUUGCCACUUACUAGCUAUGUGACCUUAGGCCAAGUUACUUUGUCUCUCUGAAUGUCCGUUUCAUCCACUGUUAAAGUGGGAAUGAUAUUUUCCAAAUUAUAUUGUAGUGAAUAUAGUAAGAGAUCAUAAUUGUGAGAUUAUGAGAGAUUAUACAGAAUCUGGCCCAUAAAUGCUCAUGUCUUUUCCUAUCUCUUCUGGUUUUUUUCCCCCCCUGUAAUUUGAAAUGAGCAUUAUUUCUGGCUAACUAAUGUUCUCACGUUGGCACCUUUCAGUAUGUGGCUUUGCAUACUUUUAGAACAUCAUAACUAAUUCUCCAGGGAAACGUAGAAAUGAUUGGGAUACAGACCCUGAGACUAGCAGUUGCCAAAGUCACGAGAGGAGAUUUGGAAGGUCCAGACAGUGUUAUGGGAGCAAAGCCACUGUUCUGACUUUCAGCGACGUAGGGGCAGUGAAGUGCAGUUUCCUUUUGACAGGUCCAUAGAAAUUCUCUGUGAAAUUUGCAAAGCCAGGUGCUAGCUCCAGGGGCCCCAGGCCAGCCCCAACUGGGAGGCCGCCUUCCCCACAGACCCUCCUUCCUCACACCCUUUCUUCCACCCUCGGGUUAGAUUGGGCUCAAGCCCCAGCUGACCUCAUCUGCAUGUCCAGCCACAGAGACCUGUCUUCACUCCAGUACUUGGAGUCAGACCACUUUAACUGGAAGAGACUGGGUUCAAGUCCAGCGGCGCCCCCCUUACCAGCUGAGUUAUCAUGGACAAAUCAUGUCACUUCUUUGAAAUGAAGUCUCAUCUGUAUGGGGGGAGCCUACAUCAUCAGGUUACUGUGAGGACAAAUGUAAGUAAAAUUCACAUGUAAGUAUUUUGUAAACUGUAAAGUACUGAGUGAAAAAAAAAACCAACUUCAAACCUCUCUUAGUAUGUAUACCUUACUGGCACAUAGGAAGUGCUCAAAGAUGUGUGUCAGGUUACUUUCGGAUUGAAAAUAUUUGCCAUGGGAAUGCUGUUCAAUCUCCAAACACACCAUGGGAUAUGCUGAGCAUUCUCCAAAGGGUCUGUUGGGCUCCCUGCAUGGUUUCUGAGGAAAUCUGACAUUUUCUGUGUAUUCACCCUGUGAUGGAGUUUGGAUGUGUUGUCCCCUCCAAAACUCAUUUGGAAAUUUGAUCCCCAGUGUGGCAGUGUUGGAAACUGAUUGAGUCAUGGGGGCGGAUCCCUCAUGAAUGGAUUAAUGCUCUCCCUGGGGGAGGAGGGGAUUAAUGAGUGAGUUCUGGCUCUAUUAGUUCCCACGAGAGCUGGUUGUUUAAAAAGACCCUGGCACCUUCUCGCUCUCUCUUGCUUCCUCUCUCUCUUGCUUCCUCUUGCCAUGUGAUCUGCUUGUACCCGCCAGCUGCCUGCCACUUUCCACCAUGAGUAGAAGCAGCCUGAGGCCCACGCUAGAUGCAGCUGUGCCAGAAUCGUAAGCCAAGUAAACCUCUUUCCUUUAUAAAUUACCCAGUCUCAGGUGUUUCUGUUAUAGCAACACAGAAUGGACUAAAACACCCUGGACAAGCUCAUGCUUGGGAACAUCUCAUUUGAUCCCCAUGGUGUAUUAACCAAGUGUCUUUCACCAUGUGUGAUGGUUAAUUUUAAGUAUCAACUUGACUAGGUUGAGAGCUGCCCAGAUAGCUGGUAAAUUUCUCAGUGUGUCUGUGAAGUUGUUUCCGGAAGAGAUUAGUAUUUGAAUUGGUAGACUGAGUAAAGAUCUGCCCUCCCUAAUGCAGGUGGGCAGCAUCCAAUUAGUUGAGGGUCCGAAUAGAACAAAAAGGUGGAGAAAGGGCGAAUUUGCUUUCUUCUAGAGCUGGGAUAUCCAUUUUCUCCUGCCCUGGAACAUUGGAGCAGCUCCUGGUUCUCAGGCAUUUGGACUCCAGGACUUAAACAUGAUCCACCCUGCCUCCCCUACACCCCAUGUUCUCAGGCCUUUGGCUUUGGACUGGGAAAUGCACCAUGACUUCCUCCAUAAUUUUGAGCCAACUCCCAUUAUAAAUCCCCUGUUAUAUAUCUGUACAUACCCUAUUGGUUCUGUUUCUCUGAAUAACCCUGCCUAAUACACCAAGAGUGGGGCAAAUGAAGCCAUGUCCAGACUAAUAAUCAAAAUGCUAGUUUGUUACUCCCAGUUCUCAUGUAGAACCUAGUUUCCAUCAAAGUGCCUUCCACUCUGUACUUUUGAGGGGUCCCUGGGGUAGGGUGUCUUAUAUACUCACCAAUACAUCAGUGCCCAGGUGCCAGGCACUGUCCCUUUCCCUGCUCUGCAGACUCACUCUGGUAAAGCUACUGUGAGGAACGUCAAGUGAAGAUGACUUUCUCUCCUGUUUUGCUCAUUUAUGGGAGUCCCAUUGCAGUGACUCUGUACCCCAGAGUCUUACGGAGUAUCAGAAGACAAUCCUUUUAGUUUUAGAGACAGCUCUGCCCAGGAACCAGACAAAGAUCUAUUGAAAUAAGCAGAACUGAAGCCAUGUUGAGACCUAAAACCACAUGGGCUUUAGAAAAAAAAAAAAGACAGUUUUUUUCUUAGCAUGCGUUUCUCUGAGUUCCCUCAUUUCCCAUGAUUGUUUGAUAUUUUGAAACUUGGUUACAGGGUAAGAUAACAUUAUUUACAUAAAUGUGAAGUUGUUUUUCAGUCGGCCUGGACUUGCAGACUUGCCAUGAAACACAUACUAUCCAGACCCUGAGAAACCAAGGAAGACAUCAACAAAGUGAUGCUGAUUCCACCCCGAAGCACAUCAGAAUCCUGCAGGACCCUAAGAUAACAUCAAGGACGCGACCAGAAGCCAGGACAAUUCUUCACAGGAAUUUGCACCUGGCCUCUUACAUGUCCCCCUACCUCCUGCUUUUCACCUCCCAGAUUUCAUGCCCUCAAUCUCUUUAAAACCCCCUCAGUAAAUCUGAGUCUUUGAGAUAAGUUAGUUUACCAUCUCCUCAGCUGAAUAAAGCUGCCUUCCUGUUCUACCAA